GAUGAACGCUGGCGGCGUGCCUAAUACAUGCAAGUCGAGCGAACAGACGAGGAGCUUGCUCCUCUGACGUUAGCGGCGGACGGGUGAGUAACACGUGGAUAACCUACCUAUAAGACUGGGAUAACUUCGGGAAACCGGAGCUAAUACCGGAUAAUAUAUUGAACCGCAUGGUUCAAUAGUGAAAGACGGUUUUGCUGUCACUUAUAGAUGGAUCCGCGCCGCAUUAGCUAGUUGGUAAGGUAACGGCUUACCAAGGCAACGAUGCGUAGACGACCUGAGAGGGUGAUCGGCCACACUGGAACUGAGACACGGUACAGACUCCUACGGGAGGCAGCAGUAGGGAAUCUUCCGCAAUGGGCGAAAGCCUGACGGAGCAACGCCGCGUGAGUGAUGAAGGUCUUCGGAUCGUAAAACUCUGUUAUUAGGGAAGAACAAAUGUGUAAGUAACUAUGCACGUCUUGACGGUACCUAAUCAGAAAGCCACGGCUAACUACGUG
rnacentral:rRNA from 1 species